GGCCUUGUAGUCAACGAUGAUAUUAGACUGCAAUUCUAAAGGUGUAAUAAUUACUAAGGCUU
rnacentral:tRNA from 2 species